rnacentral:rRNA from 1 species
UACGGAAGGUCCAGGCGUUAUCCGGAUUUAUUGGGUUUAAAGGGAGCGUAGGCCGUUUGGUAAGCGUGUUGUGAAAUGUCGGGGCUCAACCUGGGCAUUGCAGCGCGAACUGUCAGACUUGAGUGCGCAGGAAGUAGGCGGAAUUCGUCGUGUAGCGGUGAAAUGCUUAGAUAUGACGAAGAACUCCGAUUGCGAAGGCAGCCUGCUGUAGCGCAACUGACGCUGAAGCUCGAAAGCGUGGGUAUCGAACAGG